GACAGAGGGUGCAAACGUUGCUCGGAAUUACUGGGCGUAAAGCGCGUGUAGGUGGAUUGGUGUGUCAGAUGUGAAAUCCCUGGGCUCAACCCAGGAACUGCACCUGAAACUACCAGUCUUGAGUGGUGGAGAGGGAAGUGGAAUUCCUGGUGUAGAGGUGAAAUUCGUAGAUAUCAGGAGGAACACCAGUGGCGAAGGCGGCUUCCUGGACACCAACUGACGCUGAGACGCGAAAGCAUGGGGAGCAAACAGG
rnacentral:rRNA from 1 species